GGGUGUCUCGGCCUGCAGGGGAGAGACGCUCUGUGGUCUUCGGGAAGUCAGUGGGAUUCAGCCUGCAGGGGAGAGACGCUCUGUGGUCUUCGAAGUGUUUCAUGAAGUCUCUGCAGCAGCACGUCUCAGGUAGGACCUGCCACGCUCCCCGUGCUCUGCAGCGGCUCACAGCCUGGAUGGCAUUGCAGUGUAGACACUGAGCUGUGGGCAGGACUCUUCCUGGUCCUCGUGGCUGGGGUACCAUGGGCCGGGCUGGUCCUGGCUCUGCACUGUCCCUGUGACCCUCGGGAUGUUGCUCAGCGUGUUUUGGCGAUGGUUCCUUUCCUGUAAGGUGCGCAGCCGAGCAUCUGCUGCUAGGAGGACCACGUGAGUUCAUUUCAGUUGGGUGCAGCGCCCGCCUAGUAAUCUCAGUGACCCUUGGUCGCUCAGCCAGUGACUGUGCCCACCUGACACCAUCAGAAGAUAGCGGACUUGGGGGUCAGAAGAGCCCUUCCAGGACUGCAGAAGCUGGUCCUUGGGGGUCUCGCAGCAGAUCCCGGGGGCGUUCCCUGUGUGAGUGCAAUGCACAUGGGGGGCUCAGGACUGGAGGCCCAUGCCAGCCCUGGGGUCUCCAGAGCCGGCAGAAGGCACAGCCCUGCAUGGUCAAGGGUGCUGGGCUGCGUGGAGAAUGUGCGGGUUCUGUUGUUCUGCCAGCUUAAGCGGUUUAUCAAACCAGACAAAAAAAGGAUAUGCAACAGGGACAGCAUGUGGCCCAGGAGGCCUCAGAUAUUGACUCUGGCCCUUCACAGAACACGUGUUCUAGAAAGGAAAUCCUAGCUCCGGGGCUGGGGGCUUGCUGGGUGGGGAGAGGGGUUUAGAACGCGGUUUGUCACUUCCUGUGAGGGUGACCCCACAGGACUUUGUGGAGAUGGUGGCGUUUAAGUGGUCCAAGAAGAACUGGAAGGAUUUAGAGGAGCGGAGGGACCCGACCCGGUGGGCGGAAGUCAUGGCUGGGUGUCGCAGGCUCUGCGUGGCUCUGAGGGUGGCUCCAACUCAGGCAGGCGUGCCCCAUGUUUAACGGCCAUUGAGUCUGCAAGUUAUAAACUUGGUUACCCCCAGAACGUUGUUAAACAGUACUCUGUUCUAGAACAUGCUGAGAUAGCAUUUAUGCAAGGGAUGCCAGGGUGUGGAACGGAUCAGUCCGGCGUUCUCCUCAACAGUCCAGGAGGAGGACAGGGAGAAGGCAGCGUCGCUCCUAAGCGGGUGAAGCCAGUUUCAUCCUGAGUGAUGGUGACAGUAAUAACUGGUAAGAAAUGAAAUCACAGCUUUUCACACGCAGAGUCUGACAAAUGGCUAGCCCUUCCUCCAUCUCUGGGUGCUCAUGCUGGGGAGCGAGGGGCCCUCCCUCCACUCCUGGCUGCACCUGCUGGAGGGCGACAGGCCCUCCUUCCAAUCAUUGUUGCUUCUGCUGGAGAGCAAGGGCCCUGCCUCCAUUCCUUGGUGCAGGUUCUGGAGAGUGACGCCCCCGCCCCCGCACUCCUCUUGCUCCUGCUGGAGAGUGACAGGCCCUCCCUCCAAUCCUCGGUGCUUCUGCUUGAGAGCGACGGGCUCUCCCUCCACUCAGUGUGCGUGCUGGAGAGUGACAGGUCCUCCCUCCAUCCCUAGGUGCUCAUGCUGGAGCGUGAAGGGCCCCCUGUCCCCUCCUCGGUACACAUGCUGGGGAGUGGCAGGUGCUCAGCCUUCUUAGGGCGUUUGGGACCCCAUCCAGCGUGGUUUUGCUCUAGUUCCCUGCCUGGGGAGAGGAGCUCAGCAAAGCACUGGGUUUAUUCUUGCUUAUUCAUUCAAAAGAAAGCUACUGAGUUUGAAAAUGCACCAAGCACUGGAGAGGAAAGGUGAGAGGACCUCGGGGCCGCCUGUAAGAGGCUCAGGAUGUGGCUGGGGGUGAGGCCCGGUGGCAACUCCAACGCAGGAGAUGAGGGGGUCUGGAUCCCACCGUCGGAGCACCCACACAACCUGUCCACACCCUCAGGACGGCAGAAAAGGUCCAUUCUUGUAUUUCUUUUUAAGUUGAACUAAAUCCAUCUCUAGUCCCUGCCUCGGAACUGAUGGAGUCUGGCUGUUACUGGGCCUCCCCACCUGCAAGGGAUGGAACCACAGCUCGGGGCUGAGGCGCUGCUGGAGUGUUUAGUGCCUCUGCUAUCAGGACAUCCUGUGGCCACUGGCACACUGUCUGCCCACACAGUGCCCCUGACCAGCAGCACAGCCACCCUCUCUCCACAGCCGGGGCUGGGAGCCCUGGGGCCCGACUCCCCGGUCCCACAUGCCUCACAAGGCAGGACAUUCUGGGUCCUGUCGCAUCCUCGGAAUCAGGGCCCGGACCCUGGUCAGAGCAGGAUCUGCAGACGACCCCGGGUGGGGCAGACUGUCUUCUGUCCUUGGUGGCAAAGCCGGCGUUCUUGGCGUCACGUCUGCACAUAUGUGUCUGAAGCCACGGGAACGCAGCGGCUAUCUCCGGGCCUGCGCCUGUGGAGCAGGAUUAGAGAGGACACACGGGUGGGCGUCUCAAGAACUGUUGUGACACAGCUGAACCCCUGCAGCUCUGCUCUGUUGGGCCUUGCCCUCGGUGCUGGGUGCAACGUGUGACAGGAUGGCACGGGAAGCUUCCCAAGAACGCUGGAACUGGGCGUUUGAAGACCUCAUGGCGGCAGCUCCAGCCCGAGCGCUGCAACUAUGGGGCUGUGCCAGGAGCAGGCGCCACGGAGCCUGUGUGGGUCCAGGGCGAGAGGUAAGGGGAGUAUGGACGGGGCUGUGCAUUCCUGGGGUUGAAGGCAGGCUUCAGGGGGUGACAGUGAAUAGGGACUGGGAAGGUGCAUGCCAGGAGGGGUCCAGGCAGAGACAACAGGUGGGGGCACGAUCCUCAAGGGGAGGCAGAAGAGGCUGGCAGUGUAAGGCAGGACAGCGAUGCCCACGGACUCCAAUGCCUGCUGCGCAAUCGGAAUUUUGUCUGUGGCCUCAGGCGUCUGACAUGCAUCCUCACACCUGCAUGAGCACCAGGAGCCCCUGGAGGGCUGUGCAGACGACACUGUUGGCCGGCCCGGCCCCAGCAGUUCUGACUCCUCUGUGAUCAGAGGGUGGGGUUAAGGAUGUGCAUUUCUGACAGGUUCCCAGGAGACCCUGGCACUGCUGCUUUGGAGACCCCACUUUGAGGACCACUGAUCUAACACUGCCCUCGUGGCAAACGCGGAAUGACUCCAAGAUUCAGCUGGAUGGAUCAUUCAGGGAGGAAAUUCACCUUUGCCACCGGGCACACCUUGGCCGUUCAGUAACCAUGGCCAUCAGGGUUACUGACUUUUUCAUUCUCCACUGCAUUCCAGAGUGGGCAUUUCCACAGUAGUGAGCCCAUCAUCAACUCAGCGACGUUCCCAUUUUCCAGUUAGAAAAUAAGCUUUCUGAUGGUUAACUAUCCACUCUACUUGGCUCUAGAAAAGAUUUCAGGGAUGUGUGAUUUAUGUUUAACAUAAAGAAAAGCUGAGUGUAAACUAGGUAAGUUACAAUUGUCCCAGACAUUAUAGACACUCAGAGCAUCGUUUUCCUCCUCUAGCAAAACAAAACAAAAAAUUCUGCAAUCAUAUAGGCAGUAGGAAAAAAAAAUGAGCAGGACACCAUGGCUCACACCUGUAACCCCAGCACUUUGGGAGGCCGAGGUGGGAGGAUCACUUCAGGCCAGGAGUUAGAGACUGGCCUGGCAACAUGAUGAGAUCCCCAUCUUUAUAAAAUUAAAACAAUCUGGGCAUGGCGGAGCACACUUGUGGUCCUAGCUAUUCAGGAGGCUGGGGGUGGUGGGGGAAUCGUUUGAUCGCAGGAGGUUGAGGCUGCAGUGAACCACGUUUGCACCACUGCACUUCAGCCUGGAUGACAGAGUAAGACCCUGUCUCAAAAAAAAAAAAAAAAAAAAAAAAAAAAAUCAGGCAAGAACUGAGGCAGUGAUGCUGUCACCGGGCCUGGCCUCAUGCCAGCAGCAAUGGCUGGGAGUGCGGUUCAGAAGGGAGGGUGGGUUUAGGCUUACCAGCUUACCAGGGAACCUUGAUCUCUGUUUCUAAUUUGCUGGGCUCAUAUCUAGUUGGAGCCUGGGCACUGUUGUCUGCUUUUAUGCACAACUGGCUGGGGACAGCUCUGAGCCACAGGCCUAGAAAGGACAGGCUCCAUAAUCCACUGGCAAACCCCGCAAGAUGCCUGCAGUGAGGUGCCAGGUUUGAGCGGAGGAAGAGCCGUGCAUCACAUCCCUGAAGUCAGAUUUGAAGGAAGACCCUCAAGGUGAGCGGCUUCUAAUUACAUCUUCAGCUUUCUGGGCUUAACAAUAGUUUUAUUUUUCUUGUUGAGGAGAAAGAUUUUGAAACCGCCUUGGUGUCCAGCUGUCCUUUUGGCUGUCUCACCUCUUUUUUCUUUUAAUGCCUAAGACUGUCUGGUAGAUGCUGUGUUUCUACGUUUCUACUCCAUUACAAAAAUUAACAGAAAUAUGGCUUCGCUUUGUAUAGAUGUUUAUAUCACAGUCUUUAAAAUGAAUUAUAAUUAAAACUAUCCACAAAGCUAGAUGUUUAGAGAACCCUUGUCAGAGUUCUUUCAUAAUGUGAAGAAAUUUUCAGGUACUUUGUUCUUCAAAAGCAGGAAUAACUGUGAACGUGAAGGCAAAAGGCCUUUCAGGCCCGUAAGAACAUGUGAAAACCACGUGUCUGGCUUCAAAACUGCCCCAGCCCCUGCCCGCCUGCAUUUUACGUGCUCUUCCUUUGCUUGAUUAUGCGUUGUGGUUCCUGUUCCACUCAGCUCACGCUCCACCUGGACGUAUAAACUCUGGGAGAAAUGGCGAUGGCCUCUCCUCCACCACCAGGCUGGCAGGGGUGUCUGGCUGGAAUCAGGCCGGAGGAGACUCGGAUGGCAUCCGUGAAAAUGGCAGCCAACUCUACAGCUUGCACAUCGGAUAACAUCUCAAGGCCUUCACAACUGUUGCUGUUACCCCACAAAAGAAACACCACACGAGGAGGAAGAAAAACAGAAUGAAACACAAAGAAAACAGGCGUGCACACACACCACACAUGGAACGGCGUUUGUCCAUCGCUGCCCUUCGUCUGCACAGUCCGAAGCGGUUUGAAGCCCACUACUAUGGACUUCCCACUUGCUGACUAAAAAGAAACCAAAGGCAGCAUGGGCUCCAUGAUAUGGCCCUCGGCUCGAAUGCCUGCGUUUCCUGCAUUAAGUAAUGUCCUGUUUAACAGGACCGCUGUGAUACUGAUCUGAAGAUGAUUAUAGCUCAUAAUCCAGACUGACCGAGAUGAACGUGCGCUGCGGCAAGUGCUUCAAACACAGCUGCCUGAACCUCGCCACAGCCUGUGAUGCAGACGCUGUCACUAGCUUCGCUUCUAGAUGAAAAAGUAAGGCUUGGAAAGACGAGACAAUUUUCUGAGGUCACACAGCUACCACAGAACAGUGUGGGGUCAACACCCAGGCCUGCCCAAAGCCCAGACCAUGUGCUGAUCUCCGCACCGCAAGGCCUCCUGAGGCUAGCAUGGGACUUUACUGAAACAAUGUCUUAGAGGAAGAUAACAGAGAAAUCUUGGGAAAUUCUUUGCUACCCACUGAUCUUCCUGAUGAUUAGAAAGUAAGUUGACAUUUUCAGAAUUAUUAACAUGGUAUUAGGAUAUAAAAUUCUACCGAUUUCUAAAAGUUAGGAGCAACUGAAAAAAUUAAACAUAAAAAGGCAAUUAAAAGUAUUCCAGAAUAUGUAGAAAACAAAUCAGUAAAGGACACUAUUAAAAAGAAAAUACCGUGGCUGGGCAUGAUGGCUUACACCUGUAAUCCCAGUCCUUUGGGAGGCCAAGGUGGGAGGAUCGCUUAAUUUCAGGAGUUCAAGACCAGACUGGGCAACAAAGUGAGACCUUAUCUCUAUUUAAAAAAAAAAUGAGCCAGGUGUGGCCAUAAGCACCUGUGGUCCCCAACUACAUGAGAGGCUAAGACAGGUGGCUCUCUCGAGCCCAGGAGUUCCACAGUGACUCCUAAUGGUGCCACUGCACUCCAGCCUGGCAGACAGAGCAAGACCCUGUCUCACAAACAAAAAACAAAAAAUAGUAAGUAUAUAAACUAAUCCAGAAAAAGAAAAGCAUAAACAGAAAUGUAAAAGUAGAAAAAGCUACAGGCAGAGAAAGGAAACUGAAGUGGUAAGAGCACUGUCUUUUACUCCGUGCAAAGCCAUGAGAAACAGGGACAAAGCAGGUGGCUUUCUAGAAAACUCUAAAUUAAAAAACCUGUUCCCAGAAACACAGAAAAAUCCUCAGGCACACACCACUAAGGCAGACUAAUAAUAAAUUAUGAAAAGCACACAGCACACCUCAUGUGCUCAGCAAAGGCAAUUCUUAGGUGAAUACUCAAACCUUCACGGAACAGAUCAUUCCAUAUUACUCAAAAGUUUUCCAGAGAGGGAGAAAGACAGCUUCUAACCUCUAUGCCGCCAUAUCCUUUUGCGAUGUCACCUGUGCACACACAAACCAGACACCAACAUCAAUCACAAAUGCAAAAACCCGGGGAAAUGCCACCCCUGGAGCUCCAACCUAUUGGUUCUGAGUUUAGGAGCAACACAUCGUUAGUGUUCCUGUGGCAGAAACUAGAACUGUGCACUGGGUCCGGCUCCCCCUCCCUGGGCGCUGUGAUGGUUAAUACUGAGUGUCAACUUGAAUGGAUUGAAGGAUGCAAAGUGUUGUUCCUGGGUGUGUCUGUGAGGGUGUUGCCAAAGGAGGUGAACAUCUGAGUCACUGGACUGGGAGAGGCAGACCCACCCUCAGUUUGGGUGGGCACCAUCUCAUCGGCUGCCAGCGCAGCGCAGCCAGAAUAAAGCAGGCAGAAGUCGGAAAGAGCAGACUUGCCGAGUCUUCCAGCCUCAUCUUCCUCCUGUGCUGGAGGCUUCCUGCUCUCGAACAUCAGACUUGAAAUUCUUCAGCUUUUGGACUCUUGGACUUACACCAGUGAUUUGCCAGGCGGUCUCAGGCCUUUAGCCACAGACUGAAGGCUGCGCUGUUGGCUUCCCUACUUUUGAGGUUUUCGGACUCGGGCUGGCUUCCUUGCCCGUCAGCUUGCAGACAAGCUAUUGUGGGACCUCACCUUGUGAUUGGGAGGCAAUUCUCCUAAUAAACUCCCCUUCAUAGA